GAUGAACGCUGGCGGCGUGCCUAACACAUGCAAGUCGAACGGGUGUACAGAAGGGAAGAUUUCGGUCGGAAGAUCUGUGCAUGAGUGGCGGACGGGUGAGUAACGCGUGGGCAACCUGGCCUGUACAGGGGGAUAACACUUAGAAAUAGGUGCUAAUACCGCAUAACGGGAGAAGCCGCAUGGCUUUUUCCUGAAAACUCCGGUGGUACAGGAUGGGCCCGCGUCUGAUUAGCCAGUUGGCAGGGUAACGGCCUACCAAAGCGACGAUCAGUAGCCGGCCUGAGAGGGCGGACGGCCACACUGGGACUGAGACACGGCCCAG
rnacentral:rRNA from 1 species